rnacentral:tRNA from 1 species
GCGAAAUUGGUGAAGUGGUUAACACGGUGGAUUGUGGUUCCAUUAUGCAAGGGUUCGAUUCCCUUAUUUCGCCCCA